UGUGGCUGGCCUAUCUGGGGUAGGCUGGCUUUGCGGGGGCCAGAUUUUACAAUCGUCCGAUGGAUGCGGACCACAGCUGCAGGCCAUAGC
rnacentral:tRNA from 1 species